rnacentral:rRNA from 1 species
UACGAAGGGGGCUAGCGUUGCUCGGAUUGACUGGGCGUAAAGGGCGCGUAGGCGGCGGACACAGUCAGACGUGAAAUUCCUGGGCUCAACCUGGGGGCUGCGUUUGAUACAUGUUCGCUUGAGUUCGGAAGAGGGUCGUGGAAUUCCCAGUGUAGAGGUGAAAUUCGUAGAUAUUGGGAAGAACACCGGUGGCGAAGGCGGCUCACUGGCUCAUUUCUGACGCUCAGGCGCGACAGCGUGGGGAUCGAAACAGG